CGUGCAUGUGUGUGUGCACGUGCAUGUGUGUGUGUAAGUGUUGGCCUGGGGAACAAAAUUCAACUAGUUGCUUCCAUUUUGUCCUGAUAAAGUUUUUGAAAAAAAAAUUUUAAGAUAUGGAGAAAAUAUCUUUCCUUUCCCUUCCCUUUAUUUUUCAGGAUUGUUGACUUGCACCUCCCGUGCCGUGUUGCAGGUUUUGCAUCUGUUCAGUGUUUAUGAACCUCCUCUGUGGGCCAGCAUCUGUGUUUAAGACAACGGCAUCAAUCCAUGCAAAGUCUCAUUUCUUUCCAAGACUCUAUGCCUGUUUCAACUCCAUUUUCCAGAGGCACUCACGCUCAUAUGCUAUGCGCUAUAAAUGUGGCCAAGUUCCUGGGUGUGGCUGCUCUUUUCCACUGUUGAAUUCUUCUAGGGUUUGCAUAAAUAAAAAAAUUCAUGGAGCAGGUUCCUGUACUAAGGCUGCUUGGAAAAUUCAUGGACUUUUUUGGGAAAACAAUCUGUUUUUUUUCUAAAUAAGGAGAAAAUACCAGAAUGAUUAAUCCAGGCGAGGUCUCACAUAAUCUGUGAAUUAAUUCUUUCCUAUUUCUCUUUUAUUCGGUAGUAGUGUGGACUUGUUGAUAACAUGAAUUGAAGUCUGGAUUCCUCUUGCACUCUGCCACAAAUAUCCUCUACUCAAUAAAAGGUUUACAGUGGUGUCUGAGCCC
rnacentral:lncRNA from 1 species